rnacentral:rRNA from 1 species
UUUAAAUUUAGAGUUUGAUCCUGGCUCAGGACGAACGCUGGCGGCGUGCUUAACACAUGCAAGUCGAGCGAUGAAACUUCCUUCGGGAUGUGGAUUAGCGGCGGACGGGUGAGUAACACGUGGGUAACCUGCCUCAAAGUGGGGGAUAGCCUUCCGAAAGGAAGAUUAAUACCGCAUAAUAUAAGAGAAUCGCAUGAUUUUUUU